GUGCACUAUAUGGUAUUCAGUCCCAGACCUGACACAGGACAGUCAUGAUGGCUCCAUUUCAACUAUUAGGACUGCUAAUGCUCUGGCUCUCAGGCGUGAGCUGUGAUAUCCAGAUGACCCAGUCUUCACUUCUGUCUGCAUCUGUGGGAGAGAGAGUCACCAUCAGCUGCAAGGCAAGUCAGAGUAUUAGCAAUUACUUAGCCUGGUACCAGCAAAAACUUGGAGAAGCUCCCAAACUCCUGAUAUAUAAUGCACAGAGUUUGCAAUCUGGCAUCCCAUCAAGGUUCAGUGGCAGUGGAUCUGGCACUGACUUCACAUUUACCAUCAGUAGUCUGCAGUCUGAAGAUGCUGCCACAUAUUUCUGCCAGCAGUAUUAUAGCGGGUCCCACAGUGACAAAAGUCAUAACAUAAACCAUGCAGAGAUGCACAUGUAUGAGGCUGGGUUUUCACAGCUGUUCUUUUGGUUCCUCCUAUUGCUGGCAUAA